rnacentral:rRNA from 2 species
AGAGUUUGAUCCUGGCUCAGGACGAACGCUGGCGGCGCGCCUAACACAUGCAAGUCGAACGAGCGAGAGGAGGUUUACUUUCUCAAGCGAGUGGCGAACGGGUGAGUAACGCGUGAGGAACCUGCCUCAAAGAGGGGGACAACAGUUGGAAACGACUGCUAAUACCGCAUAAGCCCACGACCCGGCAUCGGGUAGAGGGAAAAGGAGCAAUCCGCUUUGAGAUGGCCUCGCGUCCGAUUAGCUAGUUGGUGAGGUAAUGGCCCACCAAGGCGACGAUCGGUAGCCGGACUGAGAGGUUGAACGGCCACAUUGGGACUGAGACACGGCCCAGACUCCUACGGGAGGCAGCAGUGGGGAAUAUUGCACAAUGGGGGAAACCCUGAUGCAGCGACGCCGCGUGGAGGAAGAAGGUCUUCGGAUUGUAAACUCCUGUUGUUGAGGAAGAUAAUGACGGUACUCAACAAGGAAGUGACGGCUAACUACGUGCCAGCAGCCGCGGU